rnacentral:misc_RNA from 1 species
CUGGGCAGCGACAAUAUCUCGUGCAAGCCUCUUCAUUUAUCGGAACAAGUGCUUUUGCCUUGCCCCGCAUCGAUUUUCCUGUGUUGUAUACCUGUUGUAAAGGCAUCCAUUCAGUUCGAAAUGUCCCUUUUCCACUUAGUGCCGUUUCAUUCGUGAAAUGUUGCGAGGUGGAACUCUAACGGCGGUGGGCGUGUUUCCUUUUUCCCACACUAUUGUGUUGGGUUCUUGGCCCAUGCACAUCGUACGAUCUCUCGGGUUCGGAAUACAAUGUCGGUACAUGGCACUCGUGCCAUUAUCGGUCCCGUAAGAGCGUCCCACGCUUCAAGCGAACGACCGUCGUAGCCGUUAUUAUUUGAGUCCUCGUGGCUUGCUUGAUGCGGUUCCGACGUCGAUGAGGAAUGC